GUGGGGAAUUUUGGACAAUGGGGGCAACCCUGAUCCAGCCAUGCCGCGUGCGGGAAGAAGGCCUUCGGGUUGUAAACCGCUUUUGUCAGGGAAGAAAUCCUUUGGGUUAAUACCUCGGAGGGAUGACGGUACCUGAAGAAUAAGCACCGGCUAACUACGUGCCAGCAGCCGCGGUAAUACGUAGGGUGCGAGCGUUAAUCGGAAUUACUGGGCGUAAAGCGUGCGCAGGCGGUUUUGUAAGAUCGAUGUGAAAUCCCCGGGCUCAACCUGGGAACUGCAUUGGUGACUGCAAGGCUGGAGUGCGGCAGAGGGGGAUGGAAUUCCGCGUGUAGCAGUGAAAUGCGUAGAUAUGCGGAGGAACACCGAUGGCGAAGGCAAUCCCCUGGGCCUGCACUGACGCUCAUGCACGAAAGCGUGGGGAGCAAACAGGAUUAGAUACCCUAGUAGUCC
rnacentral:rRNA from 1 species